CUAGUUACGUAUAUCACAGGAAUAAAUGUGCUUUAAUAAACAUUAUACAGUGUUCUGUGUAGUUUGUUUGUUGUGUUUUAGUGUCAAUUAUCCUUAUAUUAAUAUGAAGUUGGUUGCGGUCAUCUGUUCGCUGUUGGUGGCCUGUCAAGCUAACAAUGGAGCGACGCCACGUACAAUAAACAAUUAUGUAGAAACACACAACAACAAUUACAACAUAAAUUACAACGUGUACGACCCGAACGCGUAUUACAACAACAUGCAACAACAAUACCAGAACGCCAUGCUCGGUCGUUAUUAUUCAACGUACAGACCAAAUAUUGCUGAGGGCAUUCUUCAUGCUGUUUCUGACACUGUGUGGAACAUUGGAAGUCUUAUAGGAGCUCGACAUUACUAAAAGAUGUUAUAGAAAUAAUUACAGUAGUAGUACAUAAUGGAAUUACCUUUUUACGUAUGGCAACAUUGGAUGGGUCCAGUGUUGCCAUAGGUAAGAAUGUAAGAAGCCUACAGAAAGUCCCAACUUUCUGUAGGCUUCAGUUAUAAAAAAAA